GCGAGCUACCAUGCAGUCGAGCGGAGCGAGGGUGCUUGCACCUUAGCUUAGCGGCGGACGGGUGAGUAAUGCUUAGGAAUCUGCCUAUUAGUGGGGGACAACAUUCCGAAAGGGAUGCUAAUACCGCAUACGCCCUAAGGGGGAAAGCAGGGGAUCUUCGGACCUUGCGCUAAUAGAUGAGCCUAAGUCGGAUUAGCUAGUUGGUGGGGUAAAGGCCUACCAAGGCGACGAUCUGUAGCGGGUCUGAGAGGAUGAUCCGCCACACUGGGACUGAGACACGGCCCAGACUCCUACGGGAGGCAGCAGUGGGGAAUAUUGGACAAUGGGCGGAAGCCUGAUCCAGCCAUGCCGCGUGUGUGAAGAAGGCCUUUUGGUUGUAAAGCACUUUAAGCGAGGAGGAGGCUACUAGUAUUAAUACUACUGGAUAGUGGACGUUACUCGCAGAAUAAGCACCGGCUAACUCUGUGCCAGCAGCCGCGGUAAUACAGAGGGUGCGAGCGUUAAUCGGAUUUACUGGGCGUAAAGCGUGCGUAGGCGGCUUUUUAAGUCGGAUGUGAAUCCCCCGAGCUUAACUUGGGAAUUGCAUUCGAUACUGGGAAGCUAGAGUAUGGGAGAGGAUGGUAGAAUUCCAGGUGUAGCGGUGAAAUGCGUAGAGAUCUGGAGGAAUACCGAUGGCGAAGGCAGCCAUCUGGCCUAAUACUGACGCUGAGGUACGAAAGCAUGGGGAGCAAACAGGAUUAGAUACCCUGGUAGUCCAUGCCGUAAACGAUGUCUACUAGCCGUUGGGGCCUUUGAGGCUUUAGUGGCGCAGCUAACGCGAUAAGUAGACCGCCUGGGGAGUACGGUCGCAAGACUAAAACUCAAGGAAUUUGACGGG
rnacentral:rRNA from 1 species